UGGGGAAUCUUCCACAAUGGACGAAGGUCUGAUGGAGCAACGCCGCGUGAGUGAAGAAGGGUUUCGGCUCGUAAAACUCUGUUGUUAAAGAAGAACAUAUCUGAGAGUAACUGUUCAGGUAUUGACGGUAUUUAACCGGAAAGCCACGGCUAACUACGUACCAG
rnacentral:rRNA from 1 species